GGGGCGCGGGGCACGAGCCGCCUUCCCUGCGGCGGGCAGGAAGCCGGAAGGAGUUCCCGAGCCCGCGGACUUGCAGCGGAAGUGGAAGGAGGACGUACGUGAGCGAGACCUCUGCCUCGUUUACCAAGUCGCUACAGUGUUUAGGCUUCUGCUCAAGUAUCUGGAGCUGAAAGAUGCAACGCAGGGAAGGGAACUGUGGCUAGCUAAGGAAACCAUGCUUGAUGUUCCUUCUAGAUCUCAUGUCAGCACCAAGCCCUCAGCUGCUGGUGGCAGCUGCUCAGCAGACCCUGCGCAUGGGAAAGAGACGAGAUCCACCCCGCGCCAUCUGUCUUCAUCUCGCUGGAGAGGUGCUGGCUGUGGCCCGGGGUCUGAAGCCAGCUCUGCUCUAUGAUUGUAACCGUGCAGGGGCGUCAGAGCUCCAGAGUUAUCUGGAGAAGCUGCAGGGACUGGGUUUCCUCACCCUGGGACUUCACAUCCUUGAGAUUGGAGAAAACAACCUUAUUAUCAGUCCUGAGCAUGCACGUCAGCACUUGGAGCAGGUGCUGCUUGGUACCAUAGCCUUUGUAAAUGUUUCCAGCUCCCAACCUCACCCCACUAUCUGCUCCCUGGACCAGCUUCAGGACUUGAAGACCCUUGUGGCUGAAAUCAUCACACAUUUGCAGGGGCUGAAGAGGGACCUAUCGCUAGCAGUCUCACACAGCAGACUCCAUUCCUCAGACUGGAAUCUCUGUACUGUAUUUGGGAUCCUUCUUGGCUAUCCUGUCCCCUAUACCUUUCACCUGAACCAAGGAGAUGACAACUGCUUAGCCCUGACUCCACUACGAGUGUUCGCUGUCCGGAUCUCAUGGCUGCUAGGUCAACCCCCGGUCCUGCUCUAUUCCUUUAGUGUCCCAGAGAGUUUGUUCCCAGCCCUGAGGGACAUUCUAAACACCUGGGAGAAGAACCUCAGAAUCCGAUUUAGGACUCAGAAUGACUUUCCUGACCUCAGCAUCUCCUCUGAGAUAGUCACACUGCCGGCUGUGGCCCUCUGACUUUCACUCUCCUCCCAUGUAGAAGGCCAAAUUCAAGUUCAUGUGCUCCAAGAAACCACCACUGCCUGUGACAGCACACCCGGAUAUCUCCUUUCUGUGAAUUUCGGCUGCCUUUGGGGCUCAUACCGCACAGACGCUCACGACCCGCCACAACCUGCCGUGACCUGCCAGGUGACACCUGCACGUGGCCCCUUCAGACCUGUGCAUGUCUCUCUCCUCUCAGAAAGGCGGAGCCGUGGCGGCCCGGCCAGCUCCGCAUGCAACUUGGACAGUGUGAGACUGACAGAUGGAUGAUGGAGACAGUAGCUUCUAAUGCCACCCCCAAACCCUGUCCGAGACACUGCCAGGAACGGCUGGUGAGCAGGCAAAGAAGGAUCCUGCCUAUAUCAAUAUGGUGACAUUUCUGUAAUCUGGGGGCAGGCGCCUCAGAAAGGACCUCCGCACUGCAGCUGGCUGCUGCGUGAAUUUCCACUGUUCAUGAGCCAUUCCGGGGGCCAAACGCCUGGGCUGUGUCCUCUGAGAACUCAUGAAAGGCACGGGGAACUCAUUGAUCUAUAUCAGUUAUUUACACUUCAGUGUGACUCCAUUCAUUCCACAAAUAUUGAGCACCUACUAUGUAUCGAGCACUGGGACAACGGUAGAACAAAAUAGGUAAAAAUCUCUGCCUUCUUGGACAUUAUAUUCUAGUGGAGGGAGG